GACGGAGGAUGCAAGCGUUAUCCGGAAUUAUUGGGCGUAAAGCGUCCGCAGGUGGCUGUUCAAGUCUGCUGUCAAAGCGCAGAGCUUAACUCUGUACAGGCGGUGGAAACUGAGGAGCUAGAGUAUGGUAGGGGUAGAGGGAAUUCCCGGUGUAGCGGUGAAAUGCGUAGAUAUCGGGAAGAACACCAGUGGCGAAAGCGCUCUACUGGGCCAUAACUGACACUGAGGGACGAAAGCUAGGGGAGCGAAAGGG
rnacentral:rRNA from 1 species